GGAGUCUGGUCCGUGUCUCAGUACCAGUGUGGGGGACCUUCCUCUCAGAACCCCUACUGAUCGAAGGACCGGUGGGCCGUUACCCCGCCGGCUUCCUAAUCAGCCGCAUCCCCAUCCCUCGGCGAUAAAUCUUUACUCCUCUUCAGAUGUCCUCGAAGGAGACCAUAGGGCAUUAAUCCGGUUUUCACCGGGCUGUCGCCCUACGUACGGGAAGGUUGGAUACGCGUUACUCACCCGUGCGCCGGUCGCCAUCAACAGAUAGCAAGCUACCUGCAUCGCUGCCCCUCGACUUGCAUGUGUUAAGCCUGUAGCUAGCGUUCAUC
rnacentral:rRNA from 1 species